ACUCAAUCUAUGAUUUGUUUUACCUUCUCUUUCAAACGCUUUCUACUUUCUCAAAUCUUUCUUUUCUAGUUUUAGUUGGGUGCUUAAUUGGUUUGUUCUUCGUUGUUCCUUGUUAUCCUUUGGUUAAUACAAGAGUUUGUUGAAUCAUGGGAUACAUUAUAGGCACAACAUCCAUAAAUAUAGAGCCCAACACGCCUCAAGCUAUUCAACUUGUAUUCUUGGUUCCUUAAAUUGAUGAAUAUUUGCCAAUAAUCUUAAGGUGUUGGUCUCGUACGUCCUACCAGUGGCUGGGUAGUCUGACAUGAGUUGCAGAUACCUGACAACUUGUGUGAGUAGCACUGUGUAGCUACGUCCUAACUAACCCCUUGUGUGAGCAGGCCCGAGAAUAGCUCGAAAUCGAGCCCAUAUGUAUUAUGAGAUAUGAGGUAGCUUCAGCUACAUAUAUGGCACUUGUGUGCAAAAUUUUCAAGUAUCUGUUAAUAUUCCGAGUGUUCAACGGGAAUGUCAAAGUUGUGAAAGACUAUGGUUAUGUUGCGAGUUGGUACAGUGUCACCAAGCUAGUUCAAGAAUCAGAAACCGUCGGAGAUCCACUCACACUAUCAACAAUUAUUUUGGUACCCAUGAU